CUCUUUCAGCCUCGGGCACGGGGGAGGCUCGGCGGACCUGCUGAUUGGGAACCGAUAUGGCGGCGACUCUGGGCAGCGGGGAGCGCUGGACGGAAGGAUCAAGAAAUGCAGAAAUUACUAUGAAAUUCUGGGAGUUUCUCGAGAUGCUAGUGACGAAGAGCUUAAGAAAGCUUACAGAAAACUCGCCCUGAAAUUUCACCCUGACAAGAACUGUGCUCCUGGAGCAACAGAUGCUUUCAAAGCAAUAGGAAAUGCAUUUGCAGUCCUGAGCAAUCCUGAUAAGAGACUUCGCUAUGAUGAAUACGGAGAUGAACAGGUGACUUUCACUGCCCCUCGAGCCAGACCUUAUAAUUAUUACAGGGAUUUUGAAGCUGACAUCACUCCAGAAGAGCUGUUCAACGUCUUCUUUGGAGGACAUUUUCCUACAGGAAAUAUUCAUAUGUUUUCAAAUGUGACAGAUGACACUUACUAUUACCGUCGACGGCACCGACAUGAGAGGACACAGACUCAGAAGGAGGAGGAAGAAGAGAAACCUCAGACUACAUAUUCUGCAUUUAUUCAGCUACUUCCA
rnacentral:lncRNA from 1 species